ACUUGAUUGACCUCCUCUCCAAGAAAAGAAAAUGCAGAGAAGACUCACCACUCGGCAGGCCGUGGAAAUGAUCCUGAGUGAAGUAAACCCUUGUGAUUCAGAUGGAGAAGACAUAGAACUUCAGCCGGAUUCGGACUCAGAUCUGUCUGAUCUGUCUUCAGAUGAGGAGACUGCUCCUCAACCAAAAAAGAGAGCCCGUUUGGGGAAUGACCUGACAGAGACAGCGAAAGAUGGCACAGUGUGGCGUGAAGAACAGGUGGGGACGCGUCUCCCUUUCACCCCAAUCAAAGCGUAUGCUGCAGAUGGAGAGCCAACGGCUAAGGCCAGGAAAAGUAUCUCGAGUCGCCUUCAGAGCUUCCUGUGUUUCAUUACUCUUGACAUGCUUCAUAGCAUUCAAGAAUGGACUAUUCAACAUGCACAGGAAACGGAGCAUGUUCAUUGGUUCAUGGCCCUCCCUGAACUAAUGGCAUUUAUUGCAAUUGUCAUCUUGCGGGGGCGUACCAAGGUUCCAUCACUACGUGACUGCUGGUCAGCAAACCUGGGAAACCCACAUAUCAUUGGAACAAUGCCAUGAAACCGCUUCCAAGACAUCAUGCGACACCUACGCUUUGAUGACAGGUCCACCCGGAGUGAUCGAGCAAAGACUGAUAAGUUUGCUGCAAUUUCCAGUGUGUGGGGAUCAUUUGUCACCAAUUGCAUCACGUCCUACAACCCUGGUCUACAUAUCACCGUUGAUGAACAGCUUUUCCCGUCAAAGACUCUCUGCUGUUUCCUGCAGUAUAUUGCAACUAAACCUGACAAGUUUGGGAUCAAGUUUUGGGUGGCUUGCGACCUAAAAUCCAAGUACAUUUGUAAUGUCCUCCCAUAUCUUGGCAAGGACCCUAGUCGUCCCAGUGGAGAGAGACUGUCUGAAAAUGUAGUGAUGAGGCUGAUGGAACCAUUCCUAGACAAGGGCAGAAAUGUUACCACGGACAAUUUGAAUUCACCACUCAGGUGUUUUCAACCACUGCUACUACGCUGACGGCGUAUGCGCCCAAACGGAAGAAGACCGUCUACAUUCUUAGCAGCAUGCACAGCAUGAUUCAGACUGAUAAUACCACCAAAAGGAAGCCAAGCACUGUCACCCUUUACAACACCACAAAGUGCGGCGUGGAUGUGAUGGACCAGAUGGUGCGGGAGUACACUGUCCGCACAGGGACAUGGCGCUGGCCAGUUGCCGUGUUCUAUAACAUGAUUGACAUGGCAGCACUGAAUGCACCUGUGCUGUAUCAAGCAUGCACCGGAAGGCAGGAAAGACGGGUGGACUUCCUGGUGGAGCUUGCAAGAGAGUUGGCUAACUCUCAUAUGUGUGCGAAGAAGGCAAGAAAAGAAUAAUUGCUUCGGACACAACCCUCCACACCUAGCCCUGGAAAAAGAGCCAUGUGUCAGGUCAAACACCAAUGCAAGAACAAUCAUGCCACUGUGUGAUGUGUUCACUGCUACAGAUACACAUGUGGUAAAUGCAGACGGGAGAUACCAUGGCAGUGCCAGGAUUGUGAGUGAUUGCUGGAAUGUACUCACUCACUUUUUAAUAUUAUUUUUAAAUAUGUGUACAAAUGGUUGGUUUCUUUAUUUUUAUU